UUUCCAGAUUCCAAGUAACAGCUUCAUACAUUUCCAAAGAAAUGACUGGCUCACUUUCUUACAAAACCUGCAAUCAGUUCAUCCUACUCUUUCCAAACUAAUCUAAUGGUUUAAACAUUUCCCUCCUCAGCCUGAAGCAUUGUGAGUCGCACCUCCUGCUCCCCUAUGCAGCAAGUGAUGGGUAUGGGCUGUGUUUGCCCCUUCUCCUGCACAUGAGCCACUCUGAAUUGUGCAGCUGAAAGCUCAGCGGUGGGAGCUGCUUCUGCAAGCCUGCAAAUAGAGGACAAGAUCUGAGCAGAAUUGAAUGCCCACAGCUUCAUUCUUUAUCAGGAACGUCCUAUCCAUAACCUUUAGCCUCACUUGUGUAUUGAAGCUUCGUUUGGUUCAUAUGGGCUAUUAAUAUGGGUAGCAUGUAACUCUUAAGCAUUAUCUUAGGUGAACUAAGAUAUUUGGUUUUGCUAUCCUUUAUGUGUGAGCAUUUGUCAUUCUAUACCUCUGACUAACAAGAGUUGAGGGAUUCAUAUUGAGAGAAGAAUUAAACUUUUUCCAGUUAAUGCCAUCAAUGCAGCCUUUGGCACGUUCUCAAAAAGCACUUUUCUGUGCUACCUAGUAGUACUGCGUGGAGAAAUAAGGGCAAUCUUUACCCCUGGAGUUCAACUGACUGCCCCCAAUACUCCUUGGAAAUGAGCUGGAUAAUCUAUCUCAAGAAAGAGUGUAUGAAAUAAUAGCUGCUACAGGCAGGGAAGUUAUAAAAGUUAUUUAUUUCUCUCAUAAUAACCCUAGUUGAUUAAGGAAAAAAGAAAAAAAAAAAAGCCAGAAAAAACUCCAACCCUGUACAAUAAAAGACUCACAUUGUGUGUUACUUUAAUUUGAUUUCACAUCUAGACACCCAUAUGCAUUUACUGUUUUGCUGGGAGGGUUUAAGUACCCUGAGCUAAUUAUAGGACAAUAUUUUCCAAGUUACAAGGGUAAAAUUGAAAGCACAGCUAAUGAGAUACUAUUUCUGGCUAUUAAACUGAAAGAAAAAGGGUCUAUUUAAUUAUAAAGUAUGUAAAAGAAGCAUAAUCAUCUCGUAAUGUAACAGCUCUCAUCUGGAUUAUUAUUUUGGUGCACAUUUAUAAACACUGCCUGGCACAUUACUGAAUUGUUUAACAUUUAUGUGAAUGUAGUUAUUCUACAGAAUAUCAAUAUUGACACUGAGCUGGUUGUCUUUUAAUUUCAAGAGUAUUUCAUAUCUAUCAUAUUUUCUCAUUUAUCAGAAAUAGAAAAUAAAAUAUAAAGGGGAUGGGAAAGACAGGAGGAACUAUUAAUCUUGUCUGCCAAUACCUCGGUAUGUUUUCAUGUGGUCAUUUAAAAUAGUACUUAAUUUCACUUUAAAAACCUAUUAAGUGAGUUUACUGUAACUUGCAAUUCUCAGCAACAUGUAAGAUGAACUAAAAAGCAAAUUAUGGGGUUUUUUUUCCUUAUUCUAACAGUUACUAUACCAUUUAUAGUAUAGGUUGUUCUUCCAGAAUUACUUGCUAGUAAAACUCAUGCUUCUAACAAACUGAGAUAUGGGCAACUUUAAAAACUAUUUGUUGAAAAUAUGCCAGAGUUGCUUGGAUGUCACUUAAGCCUUUAGUCCUCUUUCUUCACAGCAUCCACAGGACUUCUGCUGAUUCUUUGCCUUCCUUCAGCUGUCAAGACCUGCUGGGACUUGUCAAGUGGCACUGGCAGCACCCUCUGCAAGGCUUCUGUGAAUGAAAAGUCUCCUGUUUUCUUUUCACUCCUGUAGAGUGAAAGAUUGGUCACACUGACCCACUGCCAGUAUUUCUUAAUUCUCCUUAAUGAGGACAACCUGCCUGCCAAAUCUGAUCCUGGAAACCCACAUAACUGAUAAAGAAUCACACCAACCCUUUUCUAACUGAAGACUUAAGCUUUUUUUUGAAGACUGUGAUCUUUCUCUAGAAGAUGUGAUUUAGGUAGGAAGUCUUAAAGAGAUGGAUAAUCCACAGGGGAAUUUGUCCCAAUUGCUCUCAUUCUGAUCACAAAUGAGGACAUUUCUGCUUCCAGUUUUGGCAAAGCUUUGAAGCCCCAUUACAACUCACCAGCAGACUCCAAAAGCCUGAGUCCUCUAAUAUGGACUUCUGGAUUUGGAUGAACCUUUUCAAGAUCUCCAAUAAUGACUCCACCUUGGAAAUGCAAAGUCUUACAAAAGGAUCUGGUUCAAGCCUGCUUUCCUGGAUCCCUACAUGCAGAACACGCUCAAGUGAAAGUACUUGCACUAUUGACUUAAAGAAACUUUCUGUAUUGUUCUUUCUUACAAGUUGUUUACCUGUUUUAUAGGUGUCAAAGCAGAAGCUGAAAAAAAGUUCACAUUCUAAGUUGUGAAGUCUCAAACAGGAAAUCACAUCCAGACUUAAUUUCAGGAACCUAUUUCCGUCACUUCUAGAAUAUAUUCAGACAGUAUAGUUGCUGUAGUGGUGGUUUGGUUUAUUUGCUUGGUUGGUUUUUGUUGUUGCUUUGGCUAUUUUUAAAUUUUGUAUUUCAUUAAAAGAUCUGUUUUUAUUCCAUAUUCAUUCCUUCAGCAGGCUUAAUGCUAAAUUUGAUGAA